AUCAGCUUGUUCCAAUCCCCUGCCACGGGCAGGGAACCUUUCACUAUCACAGUAUAUAGAGAAGCAGUCAGAAGGGGAUAUUGGCAAAGAUCUCCUGGAGAGCACCUGUGUGGAAAGGCUUAGAGAAAAACUGUUGCCUUCCUGUUUGGAGGAGAGACCACUGCUGUUACCAGCUCCAACCCCACUCCAUGGGCAGAGAUGACCAGGUUGCUGAGGACCUCAUUUGACCCAAUCCUUCAUUGUUGUGGAGCUGACAAAAUCAAGGGUGGGAUGUGGAUAAAUGGAAUUUCUGGAUCUAUGGCCUCCCCUCUCUGACAGAGGGAGCAGCCUCAGUCUGUGAGCUCAGGACAGGCACCACAGCACUGCUGGA